GACGAACGCUGGCGGCGUGCUUAACACAUGCAAGUUGAACGAAGCUAUACGACGGAACUCUUCGGAGGGAAGAUGUAUAGACUGAGUGGCGGACGGGUGAGUAACGCGUGAGCAACCUACCUUGCAACGGGGGACAACAGUUGGAAACGACUGCUAAUACCGCAUAAGACCACGGAGUCGCAUGGCUCUGAGGUAAAAGGAUUUAUUCGAUGCAAGAUGGGCUCGCGUCCCAUUAGAUAGUUGGUGAGGUAACGGCUCACCAAGUCGACGAUGGGUAGCCGACCUGAGAGGGUGAUCGGCCACACUGGAACUGAGACACGGUCCAGACUCCUACGGGAGGCAGCAGUGGGGAAUAUUGGGCAAUGGGCGAAAGCCUGACCCAGCAACGCCGCGUGAAGGAAGAAGGCCUUCGGGUUGUAAACUUUUGUCCUCAGGGACGAAACAAAUGACGGUACCUGAGGAGGAAGCCCCGGCUAACUACGUGCCAGCAGCCGCCGUAAAAC
rnacentral:rRNA from 1 species